GAGUCCAGCUAACACAGCAUCUUGGAUGCACUCCUAAGAGAAGACUACCUGAAAGGCGUGUACACUGGUCUAGCAGUUGAGGUCAGCUAGUGUUCCAUCUAUCUUCUGUCAUGUCAGGGAAGACUCUGAUCCUCUCAUAAUUUACCUAUUGUUGAUUUCCUGAAUCUUUUUAAAUCCUUUGCAACUGAAGAUGGUCUCUCCAUCAGAGAAGCAAUUAACCAAAUGCCUGACUACAGCGUAUACAGCAUCUGUUAUAAAAGCAUAAAAGGUUAACUUAAAUCCUGGCACACAAACGAGAUGUCAGACCAGAACAAAUCAGCAUGGAAAUACCUGGAGGAGAUACAAGGUUAAGGUGGAGCAUAUGUACAGUUAAGAGGAUGUUCAUGACUAGUGGAAUGUGUUUUUCAGAUUGCAAUGACUGGAAGGUGCAGGUGACAAGGAGAUUAAACAAGGUCACUUGUUUUCUUUCCUUCUCUGAAAUAAAGAAGGUCAGUCUGGUAA
rnacentral:lncRNA from 1 species